UGUAAAAAUACUUGUUUCUGCUAAGGUAACUACAAAAUCUUAUCAAGUGUUUGUAUUAUUUUUCAAGCCUGAAAUAUGGGGAAAUGAAGGUUGUUCAUAACUUCAUAUGUAACACCAUUUUUUCAUUGAAGAGGUGUAUUUGGGAAAUCAAUUUUCAGGGUAUCUUGAUGGUCUUGGAGAUGCUGUUGAGCAGGGCCUUGUGAAGGCUGUUGGUGUUUCCAACUACAGCCGUAUAAUUCGAUCUUUUAUCUAUUUAUUGUUGGUUAAAAUAAGCAGUUCAAAUCAUGGAAAAAAUUUCUAUCAUAGAUGCUCCUAACGAGAACAUGACGUAUAAAGUUUGUUAUUUCAGAAAAGCAAUUGCGUAAGGCACACGCAAAACUUCAAAAUAGAGGUAUCCCACCAGCAUCAAAUCAGGUGAAUUACAGCCUCAUAUACAAGGCACCAAAGGAGAAUGGUGUGAAGUUUACCUGUGAUGAACUUGGGAUCACUUUGAUUGCCUAUUCGCCUAUUGCUCAAGGUAGUCCUAAACUGGUUGAUAGCCCAGGGCAACGUUGUGCCAAUCCCGGGAGCCAAAAAAGCAGAACAGGUUGCAGAAUUUGCAAGUUCACUUGGAUGGCGGCUCAACACUGAAGAAGUAGCCGAAUUGCGCGCUCUGGUUAUAGAGAUAAAACCUGUUACCGGUUUCCCUGUUGAAAAAUUAUAAAUUCUUACAGAAGCAUCGGGGCUGUAAAUUCUUCUAUACAAAAGUAUGUACACACUUCACAUCUAAUGCAAAUUUGACAUAUCUAA